rnacentral:lncRNA from 1 species
CUGCGAAAAGCAAGAAGUGUCCAGAAAAGCGCUCACCCCUGCCUAGACCUCCCAAGUGUCUCCAAUGCUUUUUCCUCCUGGGUGAAUUUCUCUGAUGCUGCAAAUCCCACACAUGGAGAGCUGGCAGUUGGCUCCUGGAGAGCAAUUCUCUGUAACGACACCAAGCCCAGGGACCAGGCAUGAGCCAGGCGCUUUGGGAGCCACUUCUGCCUUCCCGAACCAGCUGCCCUGUUUGCUGAACAGCCUCUCGGCUCUGAUUUCACAAAGAAGCCAAGUGACCAGGAGCAAACUGCUCAUUUUCCAAGCAGAAGCUGACAGAAGCAGAGCUGCACUAAGCUGAGUUACAAAUCGCAAGCAAUCAGGCCUGGGUGGAAAGCUGGCAGUCUGCAGUGGAGCCCCAGGUUGUUUGUGCUGGAAGAAGAGUCAUGUGAGGCACACUGGAAAGACAGUGGAGGAAUUUCUGUGCUCCACAGGGGAUCUCACAGUGGAAGUGAUUCACAUGAACAAGCAAACUCAGUUGACUUAAGUUCUGAAAAGACAAGAUGCUGAUGGGAGCAGGUCCCGGUGUCCCUGUAGAGCAGAACACUACCAGGCCACCAGCAGUGACGCCCAUUCCCAGGUCGGUAUGUCCAUCCUUUUCCAUAGCUCUGGGAAACACAGGGGUUGGAAAACAUAGCUCUUUUGCCACAAGGCCUGUCAAAACUCACCAUGAAGAAAACAACAGCAGCAGCAGCAACAACCCCCCCCCCCAAAAAAAGCCUUCAGAAUUAGGAUGUAUUGCCUUGGUAUGGGUUACUGCUGCUGCGAUGAAACACCAGGAACAAAACAAAAUCAAAACACCAAAACAACAAUAACAACAACAACUGAGGGAGGAAGGUGUUUCUUGGGCUUACACUUCCAUGUCACUGUUCAUCAUAGAAAGGGGUCAGGAUGGGAACUCAAACAGGGAAGAACCCAGGAGGCAGGAGCUGAAGCAGAGGCCACGGAGGGAUGCUGCUUACUGUCUUGCUCAUCACAGUUUGCUCAGCAUGUUUUCUUAUAGAACCCAGGACCACCAACGCAGGGAUGACACUACCCACAAUGGGCCCUUCUCCAAUCACUUACUAAUUAAGAAAAUGCCCUACAGGCUUGCCUACAGCCAUAUCUUUUGGAGGUAUUUUCUCAAUUGAGAUUCCCUCUUCUCCAAAGACGAGCUUGUGUCAAGCUGACAUAAAACUGUCCAGCUCAAGUACCUUGAGUAUGAGAAGCAUCCAGAAGAAAUACUGGUGUUUGCAAGUCGAUCCAGAUUGCCGUAGGAGGUUGAGAUGGUUGCAGGUUUGCUUCUUGGGGAACAUGAUAGUAGCACUGUGUACUGCUCUUACAGUGUAUACUAUUUAUGGGUAUGGUAAUCUGUGGCAUCCUUCAUGGCUUUCCAUUUCAAACUUCUCAGUCAAGCACUUGAGUUCCAUUAGUGACGUCGGAACCAGUAGCAGAGAGUUCAGACUGGGCCAAGUCGGAGGUUGGAAUUUUUGCUUCUCCACUUAACAAAUGUUACUUAUCUCUCAGCGAUAUUGUAGUCCGACCCCUAAAAGUGAGACAUCUAUAUUUCACAGAAAGCCAGUAAGAUAAACUAGGUGAAGCUUCUAAAGUAGGUGUCUAACUUCAAGCCAACAUGUACAAUGAUCAACCCCAAAAUAGAAUCUGUUUGCUUUUGCCCUUUUCACCGAUAUCCAGGAUCAAUUAAGAAAAUGUGAUGAAAUAUGUUUUUAAAAAUUAAUUAUUAGAGCCCUGAAUCCAUACUAUAAUAAGCUAGAUCAAUCAGAGAGGAAAGGAACAGGCAAUAGGCAUAAAGCCGUACGAUAGCUUGGGAGGGGUCAUCAGUGCCUGGAGCAGGGACUGAACCUCUGGAAGACACCUAGGGAGAUGGUUUUCCUUAGGAAAAAAAUCACUGUGCAAUUUGGAGACUGUUUAUGGAAAGCUAUCCUGUCGCUUGAGGGUCCUUGGGUAGAGAUAAAAUAAAGGGUAGCGAGGGUCCUUGGGUAGAGAUAAAAUAAAGGGUAGCCAGACACUAAACCCCAGAGAAGUGAGGUAUAAGGAGGGACUUAUGCAUAGGAGGAAACCAAGCAAGAAACCUAGUUAUCGGAGAAUUUGGAGUCGUUCAAGGUAGAGCAGUGCACAUGUGGGACUCCCAGGUUAAGUCACACGUAUACACCUGUGAGAGGAAGACAAUUUAGUUUUGCUACAAUACAUAAGACAAGAAUUGAAGGCUCUCCUUGACUCAGAAGAAGUCAUCAUUGUGAUGCCCGUGCAUCUGAGGUGGUGUCGCGAGCAUACUAGAUCCAGACAGAGGGAGUUUGUGGAUAGGCGAGCAACUGUGGGGAGAGAGGACAAGCUGAACGAGCCAGGAAAGCAUUAAAAAAUGGCAUAACUUCAGUCUGAAAACAAGAAACUGGGAUACAGAGCACGUGUGAAAGGAAAUACUUCAAUCCAGGCUCACGGGUGCACAACAGAUAGACUUUGGCUGCCUUACUCAACAUGGGAAUCUGCUGCAAGGCUACCAGGUGACUUGUAGGAUCACCAUAGGACAAGAGAAGGCACAGGCGAGCUAAGGGAGGCUGCAGCAGAGAGCAGAGCUGUGGUCACAGCAGAAGAACCAGCUAGCCAGUGCCUUCCCCGGCAUAUCCUCAACUGCAUACUUGUGGUCGCUGCUGCACCCUUCCCUGCAUCCAUGAACAGCCCUGGACUGUGACUCUUUUCUCCACAUUAAAAAUCCAACUCAGAGCUUCCAAUUGGCGAUGUGAGCACGUACUGGCUGUCAGGAAGGGAGCAGAGGGACUGCCCACACCACAGGCUCCCACGAGAAAAAGCAGGACCCUGAGGCCCUCCUCAAAGCCACUCAGGGAACCCAGUCCACCAGAAGAUGAUCAGUGCCUCAGGCAGGCAGGAGAACCAAGAGGUAAAACAGGCAGAGUGCAUCACAGGGCAGCCAGACGGGGCUCCCCAAGGAAGUCUUUAAGAUGUAGGAGAAAGAUCCAUGUUUACACACAGCUGGUAAACAGAUCUUCAUUUAAUCUCAGAAAUGUGGAUAGUUUGGGCUGGAAGACAGCUCAGUAGGUAAAGCGCUUGCCUCGCAAGCAUGAGAGCCUGAGUUUGAUCCUCAGAACCCACAUUAAAAAAAUAAAUAAGUAAAGAUGGAAAGUUGAGGUUUGUGGUGAAUACUUGUGUUUUUAGUGCUGGGGAGGCGGAGGCAGACAUCUGUCGGGCUUGCUGGCAGGAGUGAUUGUUGAGUUCCAGGCCAAUAAGAGAUCCUGUCUUUAAAAUAAACAUAGAUGUGGCCCG